GAUGAACGCUGGCGGCGUGCCUAAUACAUGCAAGUCGAGCGAACAGACGAGGAGCUUGCUCCUCUGACGUUAGCGGCGGACGGGUGAGUAACACGUGGAUAACCUACCUAUAAGACUGGGAUAACUUCGGGAAACCGGAGCUAAUACCGGAUAAUAUAUUGAACCGCAUGGUUCAAUAGUGAAAGACGGUUUUGCUGUCACUUAUAGAUGGAUCCGCGCCGCAUUAGCUAGUUGGUAAGGUAACGGCUUACCAAGGCAACGAUGCGUAGCCGACCUGAGAGGGUGAUCGGCCACACGGGAACGGAGACACGGUCAAGACGCCUACGGGAGGCAGCAGUAGGGAAUCUUACGCAAUGGGCGAAAGCCUGACGGAGAAACGCCGAGUGAGUGAUGAAGGUCUUCGGAUCGUAAAACUCUGUUAUUAGGGAAGAACAAAUGUGGAAGUAACUAUGCACGUCUUGACGGUACCUAAUCAGAAAGCCACGGCUAACUACGUG
rnacentral:rRNA from 1 species